UACGAUUAGUCUAACGGUUGCAGUGCU
rnacentral:piRNA from 1 species